AUACUUACCUGACGCGAGAUCAACCUUGAUCAACUAGGAGGUCCUCUCACUAGGUCUGCUUACCUUGAUCAACUAGGAGGUCCUCUCAGGAUGAGGCCCUUUCAUUGCACUUCGACUGGGUUGACUCCUGCGAUUACCCCUAAUGUGGGUAACUCGAGCGUAUAAUUUCUGGUAGUGGGGACCUGCGUUCGCGCUCGUCCCCU
rnacentral:snRNA from 1 species